rnacentral:rRNA from 1 species
AGUGAAUAGAUACCCAGGUAGUCCCAGCUGUAAACGAUGCGCGUUAGGUGUAUCGGUGACCACGAGUCACCGAGGUGCCGAAGAGAAAUCGUGAAACGUGCCGCCUGGGAAGUACGGUCGCAAGGCUGAAACUUAAAGGAAUUGGCGGGGGAGCACCACAACAGGUGGAGCCUGCGGUUUAAUCGGACUCAACGCCGGGAAACUCACCAGAUAAGACAGCUGAAUGAUAGUCGGGCUGAAGACUCUACUUGACUAGCUGAGAGGAGGUGCAUGGCCGUCGUCAGUUCGUACUGUGAAGCAUCCUGUUGAGUCAGGCAACGAGCGAGACCCACGCCAACAGUUGCCAGCUCGUCCUCCGGGAUGGAGGGGACACUGUUGGACCGCCUCUGCUAAAGAGGAGGAAGGAAUGGGCAACGGUAGGUCAGCAUGCCCCGAAUUAUCUGGGCUACACGCGGGCUACAAUGGGUGGGACAAUGGGUAUCGACACCGAAAGGUGAAGGCAAUCUCCUAAACCCAUCCUUAGUUCGGAUU